rnacentral:rRNA from 1 species
AUACGGGGGGUGCAAGCGUUAUUCGGAUUUAUUGGGCGUAAAGGGCGCGUAGGCGGCUUGGAAAGUCAGAUGUGAAAGCCCGGGGCUCAACCCCGGAAGUGCAUUUGAAACUAUCAGGCUUGAGUAUGAGAGAGGGAAGUGGAAUUCCUGGUGUAGAGGUGAAAUUCGUAGAUAUCAGGAGGAACACCGGUGGCGAAGGCGACUUCCUGGACCAAUACUGACGCUGAGGCGCGAAGGCGUGGGGAGCAAACAGCAUUAGAAACCCCAGUAGUCC